GACAGAUUGCUUGGGCGCAGGGCAGUCAGUCCUGCCUAGAAUAUGGGGCAAGUGUAGAGAACAAUAAAGCGCAGCCGCUCCGUGUCAAAGCCCCAAAGAUCCCGCAGAAAUGAUGAGCUCCAUGCCAUUCUAGGGGGUGCCCCUGCAACAACCCCACCGUUGCUUCCCUCCUCCCCCAACCCUCCUGGGCUACCGUGGCAGUGUCCCCUCACUUAUGGGAUGAAGUAAUAAGAAAUGCAGCAAUAAGAAACACUGACUAUUUAGUGAGAUAAAACGAGGGGGAGGGAGCCUCCGACUGCUAUGAUAGUCCAGGGAGUACAGAAUAUUUUCUUUAGACAU